rnacentral:rRNA from 1 species
GACGGACGCUGGCGGCGUGCCUAAUACAUGCAAGUUGAGCGCUGAAGGUUGGUACUUGUACCAACUGGAUGAGCAGCGCACGGGUGAGUAACGCGUGGGGAAUCUGCCUUUGAGCGGGGGACAACAUUUGGAAACGAAUGCUAAUACCGCAUAAAAACUUUAAACACAAGUUUUAAGUUUGAAAGAUGCAAUUGCAUCACUCAAAGAUGAUCCCGCGUUGUAUUAGCUAGUUGGUGAGGUAAAGGCUCACCAAGGCGAUGAUACAUAGCCGACCUGAGAGGGUGAUCGGCCACAUUGAGACUGAGACACGGCCCAAACGCCUACGGGAGGCAGCAGUAGGGAAUCUUCGGCAAUGGACGAAAUUCUGACCGAGCAACGCCGCGUGAGUGAAGAAGGUUUUCGGAUCGUAAAACUCUGUUGGUAGAGAAGAACGUUGGUGAGAGUGGAAAGCUCAUCAAGUGACGGUAACUACCCAGAAAGGGACGGCUAACUACGUG